rnacentral:rRNA from 1 species
AACGAACGCUGGCGGCAGGCUUAACACAUGCAAGUCGAGCGAGACCUUCGGGUCUAGCGGCGGACGGGUGAGUAACGCGUGGGAACGUGCCCUUCUCUACGGAAUAGCCCCGGGAAACUGGGAGUAAUACCGUAUACGCCCUUUGGGGGAAAGAUUUAUCGGAGAAGGAUCGGCCCGCGUUGGAUUAGGUAGUUGGUGGGUAAUGGCCCACCAAGCCGACGAUCCAUAGCUGGUUUGAGAGGAUGCUCAGCCACACUGGGACUGAGACACGGCCCAGACUCCUACGGGAGGCAGCAGUGGGGAAUCUUAGACAAUGGGGGCAACCCUGAUCUAGCCAUGCCGCGUGAGUGAUGAAGGCCUUAGGGUUGUAAAGCUCUUUCAGCUGGGAAGAUAAUGACGGUACCAGCAGAAGAAGCCCCGGCUAACUCCGUG